rnacentral:rRNA from 1 species
GGAGUUUGAUCAUGGCUCAGAUUGAACGCUGGCGGCAGGCCUAACACAUGCAAGUCGAACGGUAACAGGAAGCAGCUUGCUGCUUCGCUGACGAGUGGCGGACGGGUGAGUAAUGUCUGGGAAGCUGCCUGAUGGAGGGGGAUAACUACUGGAAACGGUAGCUAAUACCGCAUAAUGUCGCAAGACCAAAGAGGGGGACCUUCGGGCCUCUUGCCAUCGGAUGUGCCCAGAUGGGAUUAGCUUGUUGGUGGGGUAACGGCUCACCAAGGCGACGAUCCCUAGCUGGUCUGAGAGGAUGACCAGCCACACUGGAACUGAGACACGGUCCAGACUCCUACGGGAGGCAGCAGUGGGGAAUAUUGCACAAUGGGCGCAAGCCUGAUGCAGCCAUGCCGCGUGUAUGAAGAAGGCCUUCGGGUUGUAAAGUACUUUCAGCGGGGAGGAAGGGAGUAAAGUUAAUACCUUUGCUCAUUGACGUUACCCGCAGAAGAAGCACCGGCUAACUCCGUGCCAGCAGCCGCGGUAAUACGGAGGGUGCAAGCGUUAAUCGGAAUUACUGGGCGUAAAGCGCACGCAGGCGGUUUGUUAAGUCAGAUGUGAAAUCCCCGGGCUCAACCUGGGAACUGCAUCUGAUACUGGCAAGCUUGAGUCUCGUAGAGGGGGGUAGAAUUCCAGGUGUAGCGGUGAAAUGCGUAGAGAUCUGGAGGAGUACCGGUGGCGAAGGCGGCCCCCUGGACGAAGACUGACGCUCAGGUGCGAAAGCGGGGGGAGCAAACAGGAUUAGAUACCCUGGUAGUCCACGCCGUAAACGAUGUCGACUUGGAGGUUGUGCCCUUGAGGCGUGGCUUCCGGAGCUAACGCGUUAAGUCGACCGCCUGGGGAGUACGGCCGCAAGGUUAAAACUCAAAUGAAUUGACGGGGGCCCGCACAAGCGGUGGAGCAUGUGGUUUAAUUCGAUGCAACGCGAAGAACCUUACCUGGUCUUGACAUCCACGGAAGUUUUCAGAGAUGAGAAUGUGCCUUCGGGAACCGUGAGACAGGUGCUGCAUGGCUGUCGUCAGCUCGUGUUGUGAAAUGUUGGGUUAAGUCCCGCAACGAGCGCAACCCUUAUCCUUUGUUGCCAGCGGUCCGGCCGGGAACUCAAAGGAGACUGCCAGUGAUAAACUGGAGGAAGGUGGGGAUGACGUCAAGUCAUCAUGGCCCUUACGACCAGGGCUACACACGUGCUACAAUGGCGCAUACAAAGAGAAGCGACCUCGCGAGAGCAAGCGGACCUCAUAAAGUGCGUCGUAGUCCGGAUUGGAGUCUGCAACUCGACUCCAUGAAGUCGGAAUCGCUAGUAAUCGUGGAUCAGAAUGCCACGGUGAAUACGUUCCCGGGCCUUGUACACACCGCCCGUCACACCAUGGGAGUGGGUUGCAAAAGAAGUAGGUAGCUUAACCUUCGGGAGGGCGCUUACCACUUUGUGAUUCAUGACUGGGGUGAAGUCGUAACAAGGUA